UACGGGGGGAGCAAGCGUUGUUCGGAUUUACUGGGCGUAAAGGGCGCGUAGGCGGCCACGACAAGUCACUUGUGAAAUCUCCGGGCUUAACUCGGAAAGGUCAAGUGAUACUGUCGGGCUAGAGUACAGAAGGGGCAACUGGAAUUCUCGGUGUAGCGGUGAAAUGCGUAGAUAUCGAGAGGAACACCUGCGGCGAAGGCGGGUUGCUGGGCUGAUACUGACGCUGAUGCGCGAAAGCCAGGGGAGCGAACGGG
rnacentral:rRNA from 1 species